AUAAUGUCAAUAAUCUAAUUUAAUUUGUUGGAAGCUUUGUUGAAAAAGUCAAUGUUUUGGUCUCUAUUUGAUCCAUUUUUUAUUUCUCUUGGAGCGUGGGGUGAUAAAAGAUUGAUUAUAUUUUUCUAUUUUGUAGUCUUCUUGAAAGGUGAUGCUGGUUUUGCAUGUAAGAAUAGCCAAACGGAAUUGAAUAAAAGAUGUUAUUGUGCAUGUUAAUUUCUUUUGUAGUAUGCAUCGAGGUUUUAAUUUUUAG
rnacentral:misc_RNA from 1 species